rnacentral:snRNA from 1 species
UCCGACUUUGUGAAAUGA